CCUACGGGAUGCAGCAGUGGGGAAUAUUGCACAAUGGGGGAAACCCUGAUGCAGCGACGCCGCGUGAGCGAUGAAGUAUUUCGGUAUGUAAAGCUCUAUCAGCAGGGAAGAAAAUGACGGUACCUGACUAUGAAGCCGCGGCUAACUACGUGACAGCAGCGGCGGUAAUACGUCGGGGGCAAGCGUUAUCCGGAUUUAAUGGGUGUAAAGGGAGCGUAGACGGUACUGCAAGCCAGAUGUGAAAGCCCGGGGCUCAACCCCGGGACUGCGUUUGGAACUGGACGGCUUGAGUGUCGGGGAGGUAUGCGGAAUUCCUAGUGUAGCGGUGAAAUGCGUAGAUAUUAGGAGGAACACCAGUGGCGAAGGCGGCCUGCUGGA
rnacentral:rRNA from 1 species